rnacentral:miRNA from 1 species
CAAAUUUUAUUAGGUCGGUUCAAAACCAAUUGCGGUAAUGGCAUUGAAAGUAAUGGCAAAAACCACAAUUACUUUUGCACCAACCUAACA